rnacentral:lncRNA from 1 species
CGAGCACUUCGCCACCGGCGGCAUGGACAUGAUGGUGUACGUGUGGACCGUCAGCGAUCCCGACAAGAGGAUCAAAAUACCAGACGCCCAUCGGCUGCAUCACGUCAGCGGUCUGGCCUGGCUCAACCCCAACACACUCGUCACCACGUCCCACGACGCCUGCGUCAAACAGUGGACUCUCAGAAUCUGAACCCAACAGGAACGCUCUCGCUGUCUUCCUCUCGCUCUUCCUCUGUUCUCUGUCCUCAGAUCACCGCUGCUCUCGCUUCUCUCCGCUGGAGAGACGGACAUCGAGCACUUGACCUUCCACACACACACACACACACACACACACACAACACAACACACAGUCACACACAUCUCUCUCACACACACACACAGACACACACACACACACACACACACACACACACACACACACACACACACGUGACCAGAAUCUGUCACGUGACAUUCCAGACGCAGGGGUCAGAGUUCACGAGGUGUUCCUGAGCCCUGAUUGGCCGUGAUCUACUCUUCCUUCUUGAGGAGGGACAUUAGGGAGCAAUAAUCAUCAGAAACCGUGUGUGUGUGUGUGUGUGUGUGUGUGUGUAAUACAUCAGAACGUACGUGUGUGUGUGUGUGUGUGUGUGUGUGUGUCAGUAUUUUCUCUCUUCUAACCCUCACAUGAUGUUUAUUUACUAUGUGUUUGAGCCGAUGUCUCUGAUUCGUUUUUUUAUUUGGGUGGAUGUAAUUCAUAAUUAUAUUAAUAAUAAUAAUAAUAAUAAUAAACACUUUUUAUGCACUUUCUUCUUCUGUCCGGUUUGUUACAGCUGAUUCUCUCACACACACACACACACACACACACACAGGUGACCUGCAGAUACAGAAGAAAACAGACUCCACUGUCAGGCUCAGUGCUUCGGUCUUGUUUUCCAGUACAAUAUACCUGAAAAGAAAAAUAACUUCUGAAAAGUGUAUCAAAAUGAAGUGAGUUUUUGGGAAAAGUGGGGAUUUGAUUCCAGUACUUUCCAGUCUGGAAAAGUAUGGAAAAAAGAAAGCAAGAGUAUGGAAAAAUAUUUGCAUUUCCAGACUUGUGCACCAGUUUGAAUUUUUAUAUUUUUCCAGUACAAUAUACCUGAAAAAGAAAAAUAACUUCUGAAAAGUGUAUCAAAAUGAAGUGAGUUUUUGGGAAAAGUGGGGAUUUGAUUCCAGUACUUUCCAGUCUGGAAAAGUAUGGAAAAAAGAAAGCAAGAGUAUGGAAAAAUAUUUGCAUUUCCAGACUUGUGCACCAGUUUGAAUUUUUUAUAAUAGAAAAUGAAUAAAUGUAUCAAUAAGUAAAGUCAAUUUAUAAGUAAAUUAUAAAUGUCAGCAAUAAAAUUACAAGUGAAAGUCAACUUAUGUAAUGAAUUUAGGUAUAAUUACUGAAGGUUAAAGGUCGGCCCACUUUACCUGUAUUCCUUCCACAUUCAGCCAAAGUGGGCCAGCAAUAUUUAAACUAACAUUUUUUUAAAUGUAUUCUUCGUGUUUUAUUCCAUGUUGAUGGUAGUAUUAAAUAAAACAGGAACUGUCACAAUUAUGUUUGUUUAGAUUUAGUAAGCAACCUUUAUAAUUUACAAAUUAAAACCCGUCGAAGGGUUUUCUACCUUUCACCAUGAAGCGGUCCUCCUUUGAGGUGUGGCCACGCCCACCAGUGUCAUAUUGCAUCCUCCAAAACUAUUUUAUCAUCUAGAGAAAUAAUGUCCCUUUAAUUAAGAGCCAUUGUAAACCCAUUAAACACAGUACAAUCAAUCCUAAACGGCCCACUUUAUUCCAGUUACAGGCGCUGGUGACGUCAGCGCGACGCAGCGGAACAAAGAGCGCGAAAAAGAGUUCGCGCUGAAACACUGAUUAACAUUGUCUAACCGCCAGGCAUCAUUAAGGUCGAAAUAAAUGAGUUCUGAUUAAUUAACAGCUCUCUGACACACACUGGUGUGUCUCUGACACGAGUAGCAAACAUGUUUACAUACUUAAAACUAAAAGCGACUAAAACGGCCAAGACAUUAUGAUGGAGCUGUGAGGAUUGUUGAGGUAAGACUCGAUGUCUUUCGCUUCAUUAGUGACUGAUUAAUAACUAAACUUACAGCGCUGGAGCUUAGUGUUUAACCGGAGGUACUGACCAGCAGAGGGCGCCACCUCACGGUAUUUCAUUACACAUACACUCUCUGUGUUACAAGCUUUCUGAAAUGUUAUAUGUAAAUAUGCAAAUUACAUAUGAACUAAUUUAAAUUAAAUUUUAAAUUUCCAGCACAUAAAUCUAAACACCGGAUAGAGUCAGGUUCAUAAUUCUAGUUUGAUUUUGUCCUCAUAUUAGAGUUAAAGGUUUUUCCAGAGGAUUUCUCUUUUCAUAACUCCGUAAAUCAGGAAACACUGUCAACAGACGGAAAACAAACACAUUUUCACUAUGGUAUGUCAAAGUUGCUGUUUAUACAGUAGAUUACAGAUUAUUUUACGGUCGAGACACUACAGGUGAAACGAUAUUUUCAUGCACAGGUUCACUCUUCGUCUAUUUUCUUCCACAUCUCGUCUCUUCUUUCAGUCUAUUUAAAAGAAAACAUCUAAAAUACACAUUUAAGUGUUUGUUUUACUGCACUUUAUCUGUUUGCGUCUGUAGAUGCAGCACAUUUAUAUCUGCUACACAAAAUAAAUACAUCAUUGUUAUAAACUGCCCGAUCACUGUUGAAACACCGAGGCGUUAUUUAUUGAUUUCAACAGCAUGACUUCUGUAAAGCUGCUUUGAAAGCAUGUGUUUUGUGAAAAGCGCUUGAGCUUUGCUCUUGAGAUCUGAUCGGUCAGAGAGAUGAGAGAAGAGCAGCUAGUGAUCAGUUUCUGAUUCUGAGAUCACGAGUCAAAGUUUAAUUAAAUAUCUGAUCUGAGCUGAUAAAUGCAGACGUCUGGCAGUUCACAUUCUAUAACUUAUGUAUAUACGUACACUACAUACACAAGUAAAAAAAAAUAAUAUAUAUAUAUAUAUAUAUAUAUAAUUAAUACUUUUAUCAAGGAUGCAUUAAAUUGAUGAGAAGUGACAGUAAAGUCAUUUCUAAUGUUACCAAAGAUUUCUAUUUCAAAUAAAUGCUGUUCUUUUGAACUUUCUAUUCAUCUGUGAAUCCUGAAAAAUAAAAUGUAUCACAGUACAUCGCAGCACAACUGUGUUCAACAUUGAUAAUAAUCAGAAAUGUUUCUUGAGCAGCAAAUCAUCAUAUUAUUAUGAUUUCUGAAGAUCAUGUGACACUGAAGACUGGAGUAAUGAUGCUGAAUAUAUAUAUGACUAUAUUCUAUAUUAUAGAUCAGUGGCUGCACAUCACAUUACAGUUUAACAGAUAUUCACAUAGAAAACAGCUGUUUUACAUUGUAAUAAUGUUUGACUGUUUACUGUAUUUCUGAUCA